rnacentral:rRNA from 1 species
GACGAACGCUGGCGGCGUGCUUAACACAUGCAAGUCGAACGAAGAGCGAUGGAAGCUUGCUUCUAUCAAUCUUAGUGGCGAACGGGUGAGUAACGCGUAAUCAACCUGCCCUUCAGAGGGGGACAACAGUUGGAAACGACUGCUAAUACCGCAUACGAUCUAAUCUCGGCAUCGAGGAUAGAUGAAAGGUGGCCUCUACAUGUAAGCUAUCACUGAAGGAGGGGAUUGCGUCUGAUUAGCUAGUUGGAGGGGUAACGGCCCACCAAGGCGAUGAUCAGUAGCCGGUCUGAGAGGAUGAACGGCCACAUUGGGACUGAGACACGGCCCAGACCACUACGGGAGGCAGCAGUGGGGAAUCUUCCGCAAUAGACGAAAGUCUGACGGAGCAACGCCGCGUGAGUGAUGACGGCCUUCGGGUUGUAAAGCUCUGUUAAUCGGGACGAAAGGCCUUCUUGCGAAUAGUGAGAAAGAUUGACGGUACCGGAAUAGAAAGCCACGGCUAACUACGUG